GGGGUUGUAGCUCAGAUGGGAGAGCGGUGCGUUCGCAACGCACAGGUCAAGGGUUCGAGUCCCUCCAGCUCCACCA
rnacentral:tRNA from 1 species